UGGCAUUCUUUCGAUAUAUCGAAGAAAUGGCAUUCUUUCGAUAUAUCGAAGAAAUGGCAUUCUUUCGAUAUAUCGAAGAAAUGGCAUUCUUUCGAUAUAUCGAAGAAAUGGCAUUCUUUCAUAUAUCGAAGAAAUGGCAUUCUUUCGAUAUAUCGAAGAAAUGGCA